rnacentral:lncRNA from 1 species
GGAGUUUUUGGUUACUGAGUUUUCAUGUUUAAAUUUUUAUGAAGUGAAUAAUAUAAAAAUCAUGAUAUUGUUUUAAGGUUAGAGGGAUAAAAAAGUAAUUUGGUUUUAAAAUCCCUCCCCUUCCCUUAUGAACCAAACACAUAUUUAAUUAAAAUCCCUUCCCUCCCCUUCCCUCCCAUCAUUUGAACCAAACAUAUAUUUAAUUGAUAUAUCUCCCUUUCCCUUCCCUCCC